UACAGAGGGGGCAAGCGUUGUUCGGAAUUACUGGGCGUAAAGGGCGCGUAGGCGGCCUGCUAAGUCGAACGUGAAAUCCCUGGGCUCAACCCAGGAACUGCGUCCGAUACUGGUUGGCUUGAAUCCGGGAGAGGGACGUGGAAUUCCAGGUGUAGCGGUGAAAUGCGUAGAUAUCUGGAGGAACACCGGUGGCGAAGGCGACGUCCUGGACCGGCAUUGACGCUGAGGCGCGAAAGCGUGGGGAGCAACGGGG
rnacentral:rRNA from 1 species